AGGACGAACGCUGGCGGCGUGCCUCAUACAUGCAAGUGGAGCGACGAACCAGGAUUUAUCCUGGGGCAAAGCCGCGAACGGGUGAGUAACACGUGGGUUACCUGCCCCGAUGAUUGGGACAACCCGAGGAAACUCGGGCUAAUACCAAAUGUGUUCUUGGUCGUGAUGACCAAGAAGAAAGGAAGCCUCGGCCUCCGCAUCGGGAUGGGCCCGCGGCCCAUUAGCUAGUUGGCGGGGUAACGGCCCACCAAGGCGACGACGCGUAGCCGGACUGAGAGGUUGGCCGGCCACAUUGGGACUGAGACACUGCCCAGACUCCUACGGGGGGCUGCAGUAACGAAUCUUCCGCAAUGCACGCAAGUGUGACGGAGCGACGCCGCGUGUGGGACGAAGCCCCUCGGGGUGUAAACCACUGUCAGGGGAUAGAAAGUUCUGAUCAUCCCCAGAGGAAGGCACGGCUAACUCUGUGCCAGCAGCCGC
rnacentral:rRNA from 1 species